UACGUGAGGGGCGAACGUUGUUCGGUGUCACUGGGCUUAAAGGGUGCGUAGGUGGUUGCGUAAGUAAGGUGUGAAAUCCCUCGGCUUAACCGGGGAACUGCGUCUGAUACUGGAUGGCUAGAGUGUGGGAGAGGGAUGCGGAAUUCCAGGUGUAGCGGUGAAAUGCGUAGAUAUCUGGAGGAACACCGGUGGCGAAGGCGGCAUCCUGGACCACGACUGACACUGAAAAGCGAAAGCCAGGGGAGCAAACGGG
rnacentral:rRNA from 1 species